ensembl:lncRNA
CUGGUUUUGGAAUGAUAGGUCAUGCUUGAUUUUUUUUCACUAUUUUUUAAACUUAUUUAACUUUUCCAUUUUGGAUAAAAAGGUCUCAGUGGCUACUAGAUAGCUAGACAGGGUAAAUGUACGACAAGAAGAGCAUCGGAAAACAUCCUAGAUGCCCAAUUGAGAGCAUCCUGUCGGGCUGUAACGCAGGGAUCUCCAGAGGGUGGUGCGGUCUGCACAAUGCAUCACCGGGGGCAAACUACCUGCCCUUCAGGACACUGACAGCACCCGAGGUCACAGGGAGGCCAAAAAGAUCAUCAAGGACAACAUCCAGCCGAUCCACUGCCUGUUCACCCCACUACCAUCCAGAAGGCGUGCACUGAGAUGCAGUGCCUUAGACCGCUGCGCCACUCGGGAGCCUGACAGAAGCGGUUGUGGCUGAUGACCUGUCUCCAUAGCUGAGAGAAGCCAAGGAGGAAUAUCACUUCAUUCCCAACAAUACUGCUAAUAUUUCUAACUGUACCGAUGAGAAAGAGUAGGGCAGACUUAUACAAUUACAAUACAGAAAUGUUCUUGCUCUUUAGUGAAGUUCUGCCAAUCAUAUGUUGGAAACCAUUUAUCAAGGAAAACGAGUUGAACACUUUGUGGAAAUUGUCAUCUGUUUCUUGAACACCAGUGUUUCAUCUAAGGACAAUAAUAACUAUUACCUGUAUCAAAAUUAACAAUAAGGGGUAUAUCCUUAAUAAAAUAAUUGAUGGGUAAUUGUGUAUGGACAUGACAAUUAUCUGCUUUAUGCUUCUGAUUUUCCAGUGAACAUUAACAAGGAAAAACUAUACACAAUAAUACAGCUUUAACAACAUUGAGGCAAGUAACAGUUGUCAAUUGUCUCCCCAAUGACUAGCUCAAAGAAUGUUAUGUCCAUCUAUUCUGUCUAUUUAUAUUUGGCUCUAUUGUUACUAGCCAUAUAAGCAUGGAUUGAUUUGUUUAGAAAAGUAGUUUGUUGCACUGCAGCUAUCUAGCAAAAGUACCACAGUCAUAUCAAAGAUUUGUAUAACUAACCCAAGAUAGACGACAGCCUGUCGUUUUCAAUGGGAGCAAAUGAAUCAUAAUGGUCAGAAUAAGCAAGGAGGUGAGCAGCUAGGAUGUAAACAAACUGGAUCAUUGGGUGAGGCUGACCAGUCACUCCAAAACCGGAUGACGGAUAGACACUCAACAUUUUAGGCUCCCUCUUAACCCCGUGGAAUGAAUGUGCCAAAACUUUGCAACAGCAAAAAAAAAAAGGUAGCGAAAGCACAUACAGAACAGCGAGACAGAUAUUUUACAAGAUGUAUAAAUGUGAAGCAUAUGGUUGGCGUUUCCAUUCACUACCAAAUAUGAUGGUGAGAGGAAGCCCAGUGGCCGGAAGUAGGAGAAGCUGGAGCGAGAUAGCGUUAGGCUAAUAUUCUGCAAAUUUUCUUAUCGAUUUUAAACAUUGUUUCCAAAACUAUAAUCUGUUGCGAACAGAGUGGACAACAUUUUGUAGACGUUACCCUUUGCCAAAGUUUUAAAAAAGAAAGAAGCAUUGCUAAGGAAAGCAUAGCGCGUAUUGAGUCGUUGCACAUAUGCACGUCACCGAGGAGGCAUUCCCUAACGGAAAUGCAGGCUAGAAUGCCCCAACAGGCUCUCGAUAGCUGGUGCUUGGCUCGGUCCACCUCUUUGCUUGUUCUGCCCACUAUGAUUAAUUUGCUUCCAUUGGAAAUGACAGGCUGUGGUCUGUAUUGGGUUAGUUAUAAAAAAUAUUUAGCGAAAGCAAAGGUCGGGGUAACAUAAGCAAAGAUAGAAAAACUUGAAGGCAAAGACGAGCAGGUUUCACUGAAACCUUUUUUUGGGGGAAACUAUAGUGUGCUUUGGUGUCAUAUUGUGGAAGUAAUUGGUUAAAUAACCUAUACAUUCUACCCUAAUCCCCUAGGCUACCAAGUCUUCAAAGCAUAAAUAUUGAACAUUUACUGCAUGGAAGCCUCUAAA